AUCAGUGUGUGUGUUAGUGGAAGCGUCUGGAAAGGCGCGCGAUACAGGGUGACAGCCCCGUACACAAAAAUGCACAUGCUGUGAGCUCGAUGAGUAGGGCGGGACACGUGGUAUCCUGUCUGAAUAUGGGGGGACCAUCCUCCAAGGCUAAAUACUCCUGACUGACCGAUAGUGAACCAGUACCGUGAGGGAAAGGCGAAAAGAACCCCGGCGAGGGGAGUGAAAAAGAACCUGAAACCGUGUACGUACAAGCAGUGGGAGCACGCUUAGGCGUGUGACUGCGUACCUUUUGUAUAAUGGGUCAGCGACUUAUAUUCUGUAGCAAGGUUAACCGAAUAGGGGAGCCGAAGGGAAACCGAGUCUUAACUGGGCGUUAAGUUGCAGGGUAUAGACCCGAAACCCGGUGAUCUAGCCAUGGGCAGGUUGAAGGUUGGGUAACACUAACUGGAGGACCGAACCGACUAAUGUUGAAAAAUUAGCGGAUGACUUGUGGCUGGGGGUGAAAGGCCAAUCAAACCGGGAGAUAGCUGGUUCUCCCCGAAAGCU
rnacentral:rRNA from 1 species